rnacentral:rRNA from 1 species
GGCCAGACUCCUACGGGAGGCAGCAGUGGGGGAUAUUGCACAAUGGGGGAAACCCUGAUGCAGCGACGCCGCGUGGGUGAAGAAGCGCCUCGGCGCGUAAAGCCCUUUCAGCAGGGAAGAAAAUGACGGUACCUGACUAAGAAGCCCCGGCUAACUACGUGCCAGCAGCCGCGGUAAUACGUAGGGGGCAAGCGUUAUCCGGAUUUACUGGGUGUAAAGGGAGCGUAGACGGCAGAGCAAGUCUGAAGUGAAAGCCCGCGGCCCAACUGCGGGACUGCUUUGGAAACUGCCCGGCUAGAGUGCUGGAGAGGUAAGCGGAAUUCCUAGUGUAGCGGUGAAAUGCGUAGAUAUUAGGAGGAACACCAGUGGCGAAGGCGGCUUACUGGACAGUAACUGACGUUGAGGCUCGAAAGCGUGGGGAGCAAACAGGAUUAGAUACCCUAGUAU